rnacentral:rRNA from 1 species
CAGUCGCCGCGGUAAUACGUAGGAAGCAAGCGUUGCCCGGAAUUACUGGGCGUAAAGAGCUCGUAGGCGGGGGCGUGCGUCCGGGAAGAAAUCUCAAGGCUCAACCUUGGGGCUAUCUCGGAUACGGCGCUUCUUGAGGGUGAGAGAGGAAAGUAGAAUUCCCGGUAUAGCGGUGAAAUGCGUAGAUAUCGGGAGGAAUACCAGCGGCGAAGGCGACUUUCUGGCUCAUUCCUGACGCUGAGGAGCGAAAGCGUGGGUAGCGAACGGGAUUAGAUACCCCUGUAGUCCCUGUCUCUUAUAC